rnacentral:rRNA from 1 species
GGGUAACGGGGUGUUAGGGCACGACACCGGAGAGGGAGCCUGAGAAACGGCUACCACAUCCAAGGAUGGCAGCAGGCGCGCAAAUUACCCAAUCCCGACACGGGGAGGUAGUGACAAUAAAUAACAAUACGGGGUCCUUUCGGGUUUCGUAAUUGGAAUGAGUACAAUUUAAAUCUCUUAACGAGGAACAAUUGGAGGGCAAGUCUGGUGCCAGCAGCCGCGGUAAUUCCAGCUCCAAUAGCGUAUAUUAAAGUUGUUGCAGUUAAAAAGCUCGUAGUUGAAUUUCGGGAUUAGUGCGCCGGUCGUGCCUUCGGUAUGUACUGGUGUUACUGGUUCCUACCUUCUGACGAACCGUCAUGUCAUUAAUUUGGUGUGGCGGGGAAUCAGGACUGUUACUUUGAAAAAAUUAGAGUGUUUAAAGCAGGCUCGCGCUUGAAUACAUUAGCAUGGAAUAAUGAAAUAGGACGUUCGAUCCUAUUUUGUUGGUUUCUAGGAUUGACGUAAUGAUUAAUAGGGAUAGUUGGGGGCAUUAGUAUUCAAUUGUCAGAGGUGAAAUUCUUGGAUUUAUUGAAGACUAACUACUGCGAAAGCAUUUGCCAAGGAUGUUUUCAUUAAUCAAGAACGAAAGUUAGGGGAUCGAAGACGAUCAGAUACC